CAACUUUCAACAAUGGAUCUCUUGGCUCUCGCAUCGAUGAAGAACGCAGCGAAACGCGAUAUGUAAUGUGAAUUGCAGAAUUCAGUGAAUCAUCGAAUCUUUGAACGCACCUUGCGCCCUUUGGUAUUCCAAAGGACAUGCCUGUUUGAGUGUCAUU
rnacentral:rRNA from 1 species